GCUAUUUUAAGUAAGAUGCUUAAUGUUUGAGCAAAGGCGAACAUGGAGAAGUUAGUCCAGCGGGUAUAUGGAGGCAGACCAUCGCACACAUAAGGGACUGAGAAUACGGAGGCCCUGGCAGGUCUGUGCAAGAAUGCCAGUGUGGCCAAAGCACAGGAUAAGAGGACAUGGGUCACAAGAGGCCUUGGAGGGAAAUAGGGAGCAGUUGCAGUUUUGGUCAGAGACAUGACAGAUCCAGCAUCUUUUAACACAAUCAUUUGGUUAUUGUAUCAAUGCUGCUAACAGGCCAAAUAAGAUGAAGACUGAGAAUUGUUGAUAGUUUUUAGACAGAGAGAAGAUAAUACUUUUUUAAAAAGCUUGUUUCACUGCCCUAUAAAAACAACCAGACUUAUGUGCUCACUUCGGCAGCACAUGUACUAAAACAAUAAUUAAAAAAAUUUUUUAAAGCAAUAAGAGUUAUAAAAGAGAAGACUGUAUUCAUUUGUUUACUAAAGUCUUGUUGUCAGCAUACUAUGAGCCAGGCAUGGAGAGAGCUGCUAAGAAUAAAGCACAGAGUGCCACGGUGUGGAUGGACCCAGAGGACACUGUGUGCAGUGACAGAAGACAGACACAGAAGCUUGUGUGCCUUGGCGAAGCAAGCUGAGAUGCUGGAGAGGCCCGCGCUGCAAGGGGCUGAGGAUGACCGCCAGCCAACAGUCAGCAGACCUUCAGUGCAAGAGCCUGUUAAAUUACUGGAUCCUGCCAACAUCAUGAUCAUGGAAGGGGGUCCUGUCUCAGCCAUGCCUUCCGAUGACCGCUGCUCAGUGGGCACCUUGAUUAUAGACUUUGAGAGACCCUGAAGCUGAGGCCCCAUCUAAGCUGCACCUGGAUUCCUAAUCCACAAAAACUAUGGGAUAACAAAUGUUGCUCUUUCAAAGCCACUAAGUUGGGGGGGGGGGUAGUUUGUUAGGCAGAAAGUAACUAGGUAAUGCACAUACGUAAAGGAAAAACUACCGACUGUACUAAAUGCCCUGAAGAGGGGGGCCUGGGUGGUUCAGUCGGUUAACCAUCUGACUUCAGCUCAGGUCGUGAUCUCAUAGUUCAUGGGUUCAAGCCCCGCGUUGGGUUCUGUGCUGACAGCUCAGAGCCUGGAACCUGCUUCAGAUUCUGUGUGUCCCUCUCUCUCUGCCCCUCCCCCACUUGCGCUCUCUCUCU